UGCUAACAACGGUAAAAUAUGUAAUCUUUACCGCCAAUUUCUCCCCAAUUUUGGGUCCCUUUACUGCUGGAACAUGUCCAGUUGUGUAGUAUUUGGUUUAGAAGGCUUUAUUGGUGAUUUUUACCGUUUCUAAG